CGCGAUUGGAUGAACCUAGGUGGGAUUAGCUAGUUGGUGAGGUAAUGGCUCACCAAGGCGACGAUCCCUAGCUGUUCUGAGAGGAUGAUCAGCCACACUGGGACUGAGACACGGCCCAGACCCCUACGGGAGGCAGCAGUGGGGAAUAUUGCACAAUGGGGGAAACCCUGAUGCAGCCAUGCCGCGUGUGUGAAGAAGGCCUUCGGGUUGUAAAGCACUUUCAGUAGGGAGGAAAGGGUAAGUCCUAAUACGGCUUAUCUGUGACGUUACCUACAGAAGAAGGACCGGCUAACUCCGUGCCAGCAGCCGCGGUAAUACGGAGGGUCCGAGCGUUAAUCGGAAUUACUGGGCGUAAAGCGUGCGCAGGCGGUUUGUUAAGCGAGAUGUGAAAGCCCUGGGCUCAACCUAGGAAUCGCAUUUCGAACUGACCAACUAGAGUCUUGUAGAGGGGGGUAGAAUUCCAGGUGUAGCGGUGAAAUGCGUAGAGAUCUGGAGGAAUACCGGUGGCGAAGGCGGCCCCCUGGACAAAGACUGACGCUCAUGCACGAAAGCGUGGGGAGCAAACAGGAUUAGAUACCCUGGUAGUCCACGCCGUAAACGAUGUCUACUCGGAGUUUGGUGCCUU
rnacentral:rRNA from 2 species